rnacentral:misc_RNA from 1 species
CGCUGGUUUUCAUCAAUGUAUCAAUAAUAAUCCUCUGUUCAAAGCUCAUGCUCUCAUCUUGGAACAUUGAAAGUAGGCCCGCAAUUGAGUGCAUUGGCCUCCUCAUCCCGUGACUCAUCACCUUCUGAAACGAGUUCCUUGCCUGACUUGCCAUCAUAGCAUUCUUCCUAGCUUGCUGCAAAGCACGAUUUUGCUCGCUCAGCUUCUCUCUCAUUAGCUGAGAUUCUUCAAGAACUGAUGCAUGAGAUAAUGCCACAGCCACUUGAUCAGCAACAACUUCCACUAUUUCCAUUUCCUCAUAGGUCCAAGCCCUAUAAUUCAUAACUGGAAGAACCAAAACAAGUAUAGCAUAACAAGUAUCCACUAGUUCAGGUGUG